UUAAUGGGAGGAAGGGAGAAUAUAAGAAAUAUUGGGGUAUUUUUUUCUGCCUGGAAAAACAUCAUCUGCAGCAAUGCAAGUGAGGCUGGCGGUGCAGAAAAAGGUGGGGAGGGGGCGCUUAAUGCACAUUUAAUGUUUUGGACAAAACGUUCCACCGAAAUGCCUUUGUGUGUGGAGGUUUUUUCAGUACUUGCUAAAAAUAGCAUCAGGGUUUGAUCGUGUUCCAGAAAUAGACCGAGGGCUGCACUGGGAUAAAAAGCCAGCGCGGGUGGAAGAAAACCUGGACAUCACCGCAAUCCCUCCCCCCAACUAUGUCUGGAAAUUAAUUGUUGGAUUUUUCCUCUCCUCUCUUCUGUCUCCUUCUCUCUGUCCACUUUCUCUUCCUUCCCCCUAUGUUUCUUUUUCUCUCUUAAGGAGUUCCCGUUUGGGUGCUCAAACCUGUCCUGACACCUGGAGGUCUGCAUGAGGGGUGGCCACCGGAGGAGGGGGUCUCAGAGGUCACAGGAGCUGAAGGGUCCAGUCAAGUGAGCUCUGGCAUCCCAGGAGUCUCCUGCUGAAGAAAGAAUCUAAAGAGAUGCCUAAGUUCCAGGGAAUUUUCCUCUAAGACUAAUAACAUCAAGAUAGUUUUGAUUUUAUUUAUUUAUGGUCAUUGUUUUUCUCUACAUGA